UACGGGGGGGGCAAGCGUUGUUCGGAAUUACUGGGCGUAAAGGGCUCGUAGGCGGCCAACUAAGUCGGACGUGAAAUCCCUCAGCUUAACUGGGGAACUGCGUCUGAUACUGGAUGGCUUGGAUUCGGGAGAGGGAUGCGGAAUUCCAGGUGUAGCGGUGAAAUGCGUAGAUAUCUGGAGGAACACCGGUGGCGAAGGCGGCACCCUGGACCGAUAUUGACGCUGAGGAGCGAAAGCCAGGGGAGCAAACGGG
rnacentral:rRNA from 1 species